rnacentral:lncRNA from 1 species
CGGAAACCAAUUGGACAUAAUUCUUUAAGGAUUAAACUGAUGGCAGCAAUUAGGCCUGAAAAGCAUCCUGUUUCUUUCCUGCUUUCUGCUAUGCAUGUAGAUGCUGAGAACCCAGAAAGAGUAUACCCAAAGGUAAACUGCAGGACAGGACAACUGGAGGGCCACAGAAAGAACAUUGCUAUAAGAGUUAGAACUGUUUUGAUAAAGGUGAGAAAAUGCAAACAUAAACCUUGAAUUAUCCUGAAAAACUGAGGUAAAGGAUUGGUCUUAUAGGACAUAAGCAUUGUCCCAAGAACACAGAGCUCCAUGACAGAUACCAACCCAGACCUGCCAACUGUAAAACUCAUAAUCAUU